GAAUACGUGAUGGAUCAAGGUGCUGGGCUGUCAAAGCUUAGUUAAAAGGGAAGUUCGGUGUAAAACCGACACGGACCCGCCACUGUGAAGCAUGCCAACAUAUUUGGCUAUUUUUUCGCUCUAUGUCACUGGUCAAUGGACUGGGAAGACGGCGAAAGAAGAAUGCGAAGUCAGGAGACCUGCCUUGUUCAACAACACUGU
rnacentral:ncRNA from 1 species